rnacentral:rRNA from 1 species
UACGGAGGAUCCAAGCGUUAUCCGGAUUUAUUGGGUUUAAAGGGUGCGUAGGCGGCCUAUUAAGUCAGGGGUGAAAGACGGUAGCUUAACUAUCGCAGUGCCCUUGAUACUGAUGGGCUUGAAUAUACUAGAAGUAGGCGGAAUGUGACAAGUAGCGGUGAAAUGCAUAGAUAUGUCACAGAACACCGAUUGCGAAGGCAGCUUACUAUGGUAUUAUUGACGCUGAGGCACGAAAGCGUGGGGAUCAAACAGG